GUUCUGCUGAAACUGAAUUAACACAGUGAUUGAUAUAUUGUAUAGUUCAGUACUAUGAAAUCAUUUAGUACAUUGCCGUUAAGACAUGUUUUACGUUCUAUUAUUAAUACAACUGUAACUUAAUUGAUAAAUAUUCAUAUAUCUUGAAGUGUUUAAUUGCGACGUUUUUUUGUGCAAUCCAAAGUCAGGAACCUUUGGCCAGUGUUAGUCUUGUUUGAUGUUUUUUUUUUUUAAUUUUGGUUCAUUAAUAUGAUCCGGAGUUUAGUGUGACGUCCAUUUGUACUAAACUAGUAUACAGUAUUGUUAUGUUAAUUGUGUCUCAGGUUGCGGUAUUUCCUUGCUGUGUUGAAGAUCCAUUGAUGGCCCUGUUUGCUGUUUUCUCAUAUUUGGUAGAGUUGUUGGCUUUUUGAAAUAUUUCCAGUUUCCAUUCUCCUUUCUAAAGGCACACAUACUUAUGAUUGAAAUUCCUUUGAAAAUAAGAAUAUAAUGUUAGUAUGAAAUUUCCUUUCAUUUUUUGAACUACAUAUUAUAUCUGCUUUGAUUAUACCAAUACUUUCAGAUAACUGUAACUCAAUUGUACCCCCCCCCCCCCGCCCUAAUUUGUAAUAAAUGAAAAAUGAAGAGUUGUGAGGUAUUCCCCAAUGAGACUCUUCUAACACAAAACUUAGCAAACAAGUCGUAUAAUUACAACUUUUAAAAGUCUUACAGUCAUAUAAUCUG
rnacentral:lncRNA from 1 species